rnacentral:rRNA from 1 species
UACGAAGGGGGCUAGCGUUGCUCGGAAUCACUGGGCGUAAAGCGCACGUAGGCGGCUUCUUAAGUCAGGGGGUGAAAUCCUGGAGCUCAACUCCAGAACUGCCUUUGAUACUGGGAGCUUCGAGUCCGGAAGAGGUGAGUGGAACUGCGAGUGUAGAGGUGAAAUUCGUAGAUAUUCGCAAGAACACCAGUGGCGAAGGCG